AUUGAACGCUGGCGGCAUGCCUUACACAUGCAAGUCGAACGGUAACGCGGGGCAACCUGGCGACGAGUGGCGAACGGGUGAGUAAUGUAUCGGAACGUGCCCAGUUGUGGGGGAUAACUGCUCGAAAGAGCAGCUAAUACCGCAUACGACCUGAGGGUGAAAGCGGGGGAUCGCAAGACCUCGCGCAAUUGGAGCGGCCGAUAUCAGAUUAGGUAGUUGGUGGGGUAAAGGCCCACCAAGCCAACGAUCUGUAGCUGGUCUGAGAGGACGACCAGCCACACUGGGACUGAGACACGGCCCAGACUCCUACGGGAGGCAGCAGUGGGGAAUUUUGGACAAUGGGCGCAAGCCUGAUCCAGCCAUGCCGCGUGCGGGAAGAAGGCCUUCGGGUUGUAAACCGCUUUUGUCAGGGAAGAAACGCUCUGGGUUAAUACCUCGGGGUAAUGACGGUACCUGAAGAAUAAGCACCGGCUAACUACGUGCCAGCCGCCGCAGUAAUAC
rnacentral:rRNA from 1 species